ACAGAAGAGGUGGUAUCUGUACAGUGCUUUGAGUUUUAAAUUGUUUCUAUUUCAGUCCUGUUUGCAACCAUACUAACCUUUUAACAGCAGGGCUCCUGCCAAGGAUCAAUUACUUGCCAGGGGAUUUUUUUUUUUAAAGCUCAAAUUUGAUACAAGCCUCGGAUUCUUUUUCCUCCCUUUCAUACAAUAUAUAAUUCCAAGCCCUCACUGUUCACAAACUUUCCAAGAACUGUAUUUAGACAAAAUGUAAACUGGCAUAUUUUCCAUUCACUUCAUGGAAAUAUUCCGAACCACUUUUGCAAGCAGCUGAAGAUGUGCUUUUAUCUUGCCAUGAAGUCAUAAAGUUUAAUUUGCAACAUCACAGUUGCUUCUAUGGCAACAGAUGGUGACAUCAAACACAGGAUCAUGACUUCACUGUAGGAUCAAGAAGGAUUAGCUUUGCACCGAGGAAGUUAAGAUCUAAUACAAACAAAUAGCUAUAACAACUGCAAAGGGAAUUUACAGCGGGAUGGUUUACUCCUUGUCUAGAGCCUACCCUGGGUGGGACAGCAUGUGCAAUCAAAGAAUCAGCUUCCCCUGAGGAAAAAUAUGGAGAUGGAUCUCUCCAGGACACAGCUGAGUCUGAUGGAAAUCCACGUUCUGCAGCUGUUGCAAGGACUCUUGCAGGCACAGCCCUCAGCACGUUGAAGUGCCACACACACGCUGAGCCGAGCGACCGCUCACGCGCUGACACGCGACUUCAUCACAGCAGAUGCCACGUCUUUCAACAAGUGGGAUUUAACUUUCUGAGAAGUUUUCAAAGGGAUUCUGCUGGACUACAGCAUCCUCUGUGUCUCCCCAGACAGUUUUUACGCUGAAACAGUGCCAGCCUGGACAGCUUUGCUGCCUGCAGAAGCAGUGAGCUGGGCACUGUGAGCAUCCCCCAUGGCAAGAACUGCCACCGGGGGUAUAAAGGAGGCUGCUCUGCCUGAAGAACAUGGCAACUCCUCUGCCAGCUUUCUGCAGACCCACGAGGCAGAGCAGUGGCUCCAUCUAGCACUGCCUUGGAGACCAGAAACAGCAAAGAGACUGCAGAAGCAAGCGUGCUUCAGUGGUGUGGAGGAAGAAAAGACAAGGAGAUGUACAUAUCUGGAUCUUUUAGCAAUUAGCCCAAGCAACAGGAGGAACAGCCACUGAGCACACACUGAACAGGCGCUGAAGGCACCUACAGGAAGGGCCAACUUGCAGAAAACUAUUUUGCAACAUCUGCGGCACCUAGAAACAUUAAA